AGGCUGCAUUUCCCAGUCUCCACUGCAGUCUGUUGGCCAUGUGACUAGAUGCUCCUUGAGGGAAUCCAGAUCCUGGAUGUGGCAACCAGCCUCAAUCAUGCAGAUGACAAUAUGCUCUUGUUAUGCAAGAAUAACAAGUUAGAAGGAGCCUGGGUCCCUGAGUUACAACAUGGAAGACAGCCACUCACUGACCUGACCUGCUUUAGUUUUCCAUUGCUGACUGGACCAAAGCCAAACUCAGCCUCCUUCCUUGACCUUUCUGCAAAUCCUAACACUUUCCAACAUCUCACCAGGGCUCUCUCUUUCUGGCCUCUUUUCUCCCUUAUGUCAUAAUUAUUUUCUUCUUACACCCUACUUAUUUUCAGCUUUUUAUCUCAUGCUGUCCAUGCCUAAAAAGCUUUCACCUCACCCCCAAUGCUCAUAUUUCACAAGUAAAAUCUAAUCCUAACCUAAAAUAGUCUUUCCUUUUACUGGAAUUUCCUGGGCUCUAUAUGUAUAUGUAACUCAAAGCUAGUCAACAUACAUAACGU